rnacentral:rRNA from 1 species
GUACAUGCUUAUAGCAUAACGUUAAUGCACAGGAUGCCAUUAUAAUUCCAUAGUUAAGUGCACUCGGGCUAGAGUAGCUCUAGGAUGGGUGACUGCCUGGGAAGUCCCAGUGUUUUGAAUU